rnacentral:sRNA from 26 species
CCGCGCCCGCUACCUGAGAGUCAUGGCUAUCAGGUCUGUGCGAUUUGAAUCUGGUCGUGCCGCUGGCCUUAUAGGCCACCGCCAUGCGCAUCAAAGAUACCGACGGUCUAAAGCGUCCGUGCAGGUCUUGCGCAGUUUCCCCGCUGAUCGGCCCCGGCCUUUGGCGAGGUGACGUAGAUAGCACGAUAGGUCG